rnacentral:rRNA from 1 species
UACAGAGGGUGCGAGCGUUGUUCGGAAUUACUGGGCGUAAAGCGCGCGCAGGCGGCCUUUUAAGUCUGUCGGUGAAAUGCCGGGGCUCAACCCCGUGCCCGCCGGAGAUACUGGGAGGCUGGAGACGAGUAGAGGCAAGCGGAAUUCCGGGUGUAGCGGUGGAAUGCGUAGAGAUCCGGAAGAACACCGGAGGCGAAGGCGGCUUGCUGGGCUCGGUCUGACGCUGAGGCGCGAAAGCGUGGGGA